rnacentral:rRNA from 1 species
UACGGAGGGAGCUAGCGUUGUUCGGAAUUACUGGGCGUAAAGCGCGCGUAGGCGGCUUUGUAAGUUAGAGGUGAAAGCCCGGAGCUCAACUCCGGAACUGCCUUUAAAACUGCAUCGCUUGAAUCCAGGAGAGGUGAGUGGAAUUCCGAGUGUAGAGGUGAAAUUCGUAGAUAUUUGGAAGAACACCAGUGGCGAAGGCGGCUCACUGGACUGGUAUUGACGCUGAGGUGCGAAAGCGUGGGGAGCAAACAGG